rnacentral:SRP_RNA from 2 species
CCGAGCGAUUUGCUCGAAUUAGAUAUCACUUGGCGGCUACCCUAGAGUUGCUAUGAUCUUUGGGUCCCUCGUAAUGGGCACCUACGAAUCGUGUCAGGGCAGGAAUGCAGCAGCACUAAGUAGGACCGUUCAUCUGACGAGGGGUUACCUGGAGGGAGUUUCUUUAGGGUGGCUACCAAAUGGUAUCUGGUUCGGCAGCUCGG